GUGCUCACUUUGGCAGCACAUAUACUAAAACUGGAACAUUCCUCAGAUUAUCAUGGCCCCUGCCCAAAGAAGACAUGCAAAUUCAGGAAGCAUCCCAUGUGUUU